rnacentral:rRNA from 1 species
UACCAGCACCCCGAGUGGUCGGGACGUUUAUUGGGCCUAAAGCAUCCGUAGCCGGUUCUACAAGUCUUCCGUUAAAUCCACCUGCUUAACAGAUGGGCUGCGGAAGAUACUAUAGAGCUAGGAGGCGGGAGAGGCAAGCGGUACUCGAUGGGUAGGGGUAAAAUCCGUUGAUCCAUUGAAGACCACCAGUGGCGAAGGCGGCUUGCCGGAACGCGCUCGACGGUGAGGGAUGAAAGCUGGGGGAGCAAGCCGG